UACGUAGGUGGCGAGCGUUGUCCGGAUUUAUUGGGCGUAAAGCGCGCGCAGGCGGUCGCGUAAGUCUGCUGUGAAAUCUCCCUGGCUCAACCGGGAGGGGCGGCGGAGACUGCGGGACUGGAGGGACCUAGAGGCCGGUGGAAUUCCCGGUGUAGUGGUGAAAUGCGUAGAGAUCGGGAGGAACACCUGUGGCGAAGGCGGCCGGCUGGGGGUGCCCUGACGCUGAGGCGCGAAGGCUAGGGUAGCAAACAGG
rnacentral:rRNA from 1 species